rnacentral:rRNA from 1 species
AGUGACAGGUGGUGCAUGGUUGUCGUCAGCUCGUGUCGUGAGAUGUUGGGUUAAGUCCCGCAACGAGCGCAACCCUUAAGCUUAGUUGCCAGCAUUAAGUUGGGCACUCUAAGUUGACUGCCGGUGACAAACCGGAGGAAGGUGGGGAUGACGUCAAAUCAUCAUGCCCCUUAUGAUUUGGGCUACACACGUGCUACAAUGGACAAUACAAAGGGCAGCUAAACCGUGAGGUCAUGCAAAUCCCAUAAAGUUGUUCUCAGUUCGGAUUGUAGUCUGCAACUCGACUACAUGAAGCUGGAAUCGCUAGUAAUCGUAGAUCAGCAUGUUACGGUGAAUACGUUCCCGGGUCUUGUACACACCGCCCGUCACACCACGAGAGUCUGUAACACCCGAAGCCGGUGGAGUAACCAUUUAUGGAGCUAGCCGUCGAAGGUGGGACAAAUGAUUGGGGUGAAGUCGUAACAAGGUAGCCGUAUCGGAAGGUGCGGUUGGAUCACCUC